GUCUCCGAAUGCAUCAGAUUAUANAUUUGAUCAUGGCUCAGGAUGAACCGCUGGCGUNCGUGCCUAAUACAUGCAAGUCGAACGGGAGGCUUGGAGCAAUUCAAGCUGAGAGUGGCGCACGGGUGAGGAACACAUGGCUGACCUGCCCUUCAGGGGGGGAUAACGGCUGGAAACGGCUGCUAAUACCCCAUACGCUCUUCGGGGUUAGAGGCUCGGAGAGGAAAGGCCGGAGACGGUUACUGAAGGAGGGGGCUGUGGCCCAUCAGCUAGUUGGUGAGGUAAGGGCUCACCAAGGCGACGACGGGUAGGGGGCCUGAGAGGGUGACCCCCCACACUGGGACUGAGACACGGCCCAGACUCCUACGGGAGGCAGCAGUAAGGGAUCUUGCGACAAUGGGCGAAAGCCUGACGCAGCAACGCCGCGUGCGGGAUGACGGCCUUCGGGUUGUAAACCGCUUUUCGGGGGGAAGAGGAAGGACGGUACCCCCGGAAGAAGUCUCGGNUAACUACGUGCCAGCAGCCGCGGUAAAACGUAGGAGGCGAGCGUUAUCCGGAUUUACUGGGUGUAANAGCGCGUGUAGGCGGUNCGUGCAAGUGGCGCGUUGGAAAAGGCGGCCCCGGGGNCUUCCAAACCGGGGCCGAGGACGUGGGCGAACUUGCGCGGACUAGAAGGNCAGGGUACG
rnacentral:rRNA from 1 species